CUAGCAGUAUCAGAGUUUGAUCCUGGCUCAGAGUGAACGCUGGCGGCAGGCCUAACACAUGCAAGUCGAGCGGCAGCGCGGGGGCAACCCUGGCGGCGAGCGGCGGACGGGUGAGGAAUGCGUCGGAAUCUGCCUCUUUGUGGGGGAUAACGUAGGGAAACUUACGCUAAUACCGCAUACGACCUACGGGUGAAAGCGGGGGACCUUCGGGCCUCGCGCAGAGAGAUGAGCCGACGCCGGAUUAGCUAGUUGGCGGGGUAAAGGCCCACCAAGGCGACGAUCCGUAGCUGGUCUGAGAGGAUGAUCAGCCACACUGGAACUGAGACACGGUCCAG
rnacentral:rRNA from 1 species